rnacentral:rRNA from 1 species
UACGUAGGGUCCGAGCGUUGUCCGGAAUUAUUGGGCGUAAAGGGCUCGUAGGCGGUUUGUCGCGUCGGGUGUGAAAACUCAGGGCUCAACCCUGAGCGUGCUUCCGAUACGGGCAGACUAGAGGUAUUCAGGGGAGAACGGAAUUCCUGGUGUAGCGGUGGAAUGCGCAGAUAUCAGGAGGAACACCGGUGGCGAAGGCGGUUCUCUGGGAAUUACCUGACGCUGAGGAGCGAAAGCAUGGGGAGCGAACAGG